AUUGAACGCUGGCGGCAGGCUUAACACAUGCAAGUCGAGCGGGGGAAGGUAGCUUGCUACUGGACCUAGCGGCGGACGGGUGAGUAAUGCUUAGGAAUCUGCCUAUUAGUGGGGGACAACAUCUCGAAAGGGAUGCUAAUACCGCAUACGUCCUACGGGAGAAAGCAGGGGAUCUUCGGACAUUGCGCUAAUAGAUGAGCCUAAGUCGGAUUAGCUAGUUGGUGGGGUAAAGGCCUACCAAGGCGACGAUCUGUAGCGGGUCUGAGAGGAUGAUCCGCCACACUGAGACUGAGACACGGCCCAGACUCCUACGGGAGGCAGCAGUGGGGAAUAUUGGACAAUGGGGGGAACCCUGAUCCAGCCAUGCCGCGUGUGUGAAGAAGGCCUUAUGGUUGUAAAGCACUCUAAGCGAGGAGGAGGCUACUCUAGUUAAUACCUAGGGAUAGUGGACGUUACUCGCAGAAUAAGCACCGGCUAACUCUGUGCCAGCCGCCGCCGUAA
rnacentral:rRNA from 1 species